rfam:Smithella sp. F21 contig_77, whole genome shotgun sequence.
GAACCCGUAAGGGGAAGCUGGAAGAAGCCGAAGGCAAACCGACGACCGUAGGAACACGAACAGACAGAGAGGCCUGCCACGGGAGGCGAGUAUGCCAGGAAAUGCGAAUGGGCUGUCAAAGAAACGUGGGUGGUAGAGUCUGGCGGCGCGUCGGGAAAGUUUGCGCA